GGAUUGGUAGAUGUGAAAGAGAAAGAAGAACUGACUUUAAUAUGUCUUCUAUUAUUAAAAAUGCAUUUUUGUAAUCUAAUCUGCAUAUAUUGGAAUUAUUUUUUCAUUUUCUUUAAUAUUUCAAGUAUA